AGUGAACGCUGGCGGUAGGCCUAACACAUGCAAGUCGAACGGCAGCACAGUAAGAGCUUGCUCUUACGGGUGGCGAGUGGCGGACGGGUGAGGAAUACAUCGGAAUCUACUUUUUCGUGGGGGAUAACGUAGGGAAACUUACGCUAAUACCGCAUACGACCUACGGGUGAAAGCAGGGGAUCUUCGGACCUUGCGCGAUUGAAUGAGCCGAUGUCGGAUUAGCUAGUUGGCGGGGUAAAGGCCCACCAAGGCGACGAUCCGUAGCUGGUCUGAGAGGAUGAUCAGCCACACUGGAACUGAGACACGGUCCAGACUCCUACGGGAGGCAGCAGUGGGGAAUAUUGGACAAUGGGCGCAAGCCUGAUCCAGCCAUACUGCGUGGGUGAAGAAGGCCUUCGGGUUGUAAAGCCCUUUUGUUGGGAAAGAAAAGCAGCAGGUUAAUACCCCGCUGUUUUGACGGUACCCAAAGAAUAAGCACCGGCUAACUUCGUG
rnacentral:rRNA from 1 species